rnacentral:rRNA from 1 species
GGAUGAACGCUGGCGGCGUGCUUAACACAUGCAAGUCGAGCGGAGCACAUCAUUGGAAUCCUUCGGGAGGAAGAGGGUGUGGCUUAGCGGCGGACGGGUGAGUAACGCGUGGACAACCUGCCCUAUGCAGGGGGAUAACAUCCGGAAACGGGUGCUAAUACCGCAUAAGCGCACAGUACCGCAUGGUACGGUGUGAAAAGCUGAGGCGGCAUAGGAUGGGUCCGCGUUGGAUUAGGCAGUUGGCGGGGUAACGGCCCACCAAACCGACGAUCCAUAGCCGGCCUGAGAGGGUGGACGGCCACAUUGGGACUGAGACACGGCCCAGACUCCUACGGGAGGCAGCAGUGGGGAAUAUUGCACAAUGGGGGGAACCCUGAUGCAGCGACGCCGCGUGGGUGAGGAAGUACUUCGGUAUGUAAAGCCCUAUCAGCAGGGAAGAAAAAGACGGUACCUGACUAAGAAGCCCCGGCUAACUACGUGCCAGCAGCCGCGGUAAUACGUA